AUUGAACGCUAGCGGGAUGCCUUACACAUGCCAGUCGAACGGAGUGGCGAACGGGUGAGUAAUGUAUCGGAACGUGCCCAGUAGCGGGGGAUAACUAAGCGACAGCGUAGCUAAUACCGCAUACUAUUGGAGCAGCCGCUAUCGGAUUAGCUAGUGGGUGGGGUCACGGCUCACCAAGGCGACGAUCCGUAGCUGGUUUGAGAGGACGACCAGCCACACUGGGACUGAGACCCGGCCCAGACUCCUACGCGAGGCAGCAGUGGGGAAUGUUGGACAAUGGGGGAAACCCUGAUCCAGCCAUCCCGCGUGAGCGAUGAAGGCCUUCGGGUUGUAAAGCACUUUUGGCAGGAAAGCGGUACCUGCAGAAUAAGCACCGGCUAACUACGUGCCAGCCGCCGCGGUAAUAC
rnacentral:rRNA from 1 species